UUCAAUCCUACUCAUUUUUCAUUUCCGGAUCUAUCUAAAUAUCAAUGAAUGGAAAAUUUUAUUUUUGACCAUGGAACCUAUUAUCCUGAUUUAGUGAGAGUAUUUUAUAGUAAUAUGAUUUUGAAGUACUCAAAAUUGAAUUCCUAUGUUAAGGGUGUUACUAUAUCUUUGACCCCUUAAGAACUUGGUGAAUGUUUGGGAAUUUUAUUUGUUGGCGAGAGACAUACAGGAAGAUUUUGUUCCCUCUUGGGAAAAAAAUAGAAAGAAUUUUUUUUAUUAAG
rnacentral:lncRNA from 1 species